rnacentral:rRNA from 1 species
AUACGAAGGGGGCUAGCGUUGUUCGGAAUUACUGGGCGUAAAGCGCGUGUAGGCGGAUCGUUAAGUCAGGGGUGAAGGCCCGGGGCUCAACCCCGGAACUGCCCUUGAUACUGGCGGUCUCGAGUCCGGAAGAGGUGGGCGGAAUUCCCGGUGUAGAGGUGAAAUUCGUAGAUAUCGGGAGGAACACCAGUGGCGAAGGCGGCUCACUGGUCCGGUACUGACGCUGAGACGCGAAAGCGUGGGGAGCAAACAGGAUUAGAUACCCUAGUAGUCC